GUAGAAUUUUAGAAAAUCUAUUUUCUGAACACUACUUCUUUGUCAGUUACAUGGGUUGAAAUAUAUUGGCCCAAUCUGUAAACUAUAUAUAUGUGUUCACAUGGUAUUUCUUCUUGCCUAUUAUCAUAUGGAAAUACUUAAAUUUAAAUGUAAUGAAAUUUAUAAAAGUAUUUCCUUUCAUGGUUUGUGUUAUUUCCUUUCAGUUGAGGAAUCCUGCCCUCUCCUAAAUUAUGAUGAUAAUUCUCUUACAUUUCCUUUGAAAACUUUCGUCGUUCGUAUUUUCAUGUUUCACUCAUCUAUUUGGCUGGAAUUUAAUUUUGUGCCUGGCAUGAAGUAGAAAACGAAUUUCAUUUUCCUGCUCACAAAUGGCCAAUUUUUUUGGUGCUGCUUAAUGAAUAUCCUGUCAUUUUCUUACUCAUUCAUUAUGCAAACCCUGUCUUUUAUCACAUUUUCGUGUGUGGCUCCCAGUUCCUAGAUUACUACCAGGGCUUUGUAUGAUUUUAGAGGAACUCUUAAUCCAUAGGAGAGCCGAUCCUCCUUCCCGCAUCUUCCAAAUCUCUGCUGGUUGUGUUGCUUUAUUGGUCCACAUGCAUCUUAGCCUCCACCUCCUGAUUUCGGUGAAAGACUAAUUUGAAAUUUGAUGUGCGUGGCACUGAAUUACUGGACUAAUCGUAUACCUAUUUAACAACUAUUACUGAGUGCUUGCCAGGCACGGAUCAAGGCAUCAGCUAUACAGCAGUGAAAAACAAAAUGGACCAAAACUCUGCAUUUGUGACGCGUGCAUAAAUAAAGUGACCAAGUGAGAAGGUGAAUAAAUGCAUGAUAAAUCACUAAGGGCUAUGGAGAAACUGGUACCCAACUCAGGUUCUGCUGCUCACGGCUCAAGAAUUCAAUCCUGAGAGAUAAGUGUUGGGUAAAAGGAAAGGUAGCUGUGUUAAGGAAGACUGCAGUCCUGGGGAGAAGGUAGACUCAUGUCCCAAAGAACCAACUCCCUGGUGUCCAUCAGGGGACAACGGUUUUAAAGGAGAGCUUCAGGAGUGGACAGGUGGGGGCGCUCUAUGCAGAACAGCACAGUCAGGUGCAACCAUCACCGUGGAACUGCUCAUGCAGUGGUCUGAUCAGCAUCAUCUUCAGUGUUUUAAGCACAGUUCAUCUUCUGUUCCAGAGUCAGUUCGUUUCCGUUUUCUCGAGGCCAAUUCUCAGAACUGCGUACGAUGGACCACCUGACGUCAUGGCUACAGUCUGGUCAGCACGCAGUUAGCUUUUUCCUUUUGGUGGCAGUUUGAGUAUCUGUAGAACAACUCAGGAAUGAGCAUCAGACGCUUUAUCUGUGUCCUCGGAGAGGAACUAAGGAUUCUGUGAUGCUCUAUGGCUGACUCUCUGUGUAUAUUGCCAGCACGUGUAAUCAACAAAAGCCAGAGCACGGCUCAGACACAGGUACCAUCUCAGUUCAAAGUCUCCCAUCCACCUAAUUUUGUGUUGAUCCCACAGAGGCUGUGACAUGUUCACACGCACCCCUUCCUAAGGGGCAAUGAAAAAGGUGCCCCCAGCCCCGUACGACUAACAUUCAGGUUAACCUACAGUGGUAACAGCAGCCUUCUGCUUUCCAUUAAAAUAUUUUUAAAUCUUAUCUGGUUGAAUGCAAGAGACAUCUUUUAUACAUUCACCAAAAAAAAGAGGUUGUAUAGUAGCUACAGGACAGUCCCUAGUGGAUCCUUUUUUCUCCAGCUCUAUUGAGAUCUCAUUGACACGUACCAUUACGUGAGUUCAGGAUGUACAGUGUGAGGAUUUGACGCGCUUAUGUUUUGUCGCAAAAUGAUGAGCAACGAAGCAUAACCUGCCCCCUCUGCUGGGUCGCAUAAUUAUCAUUAUUCUUAAUGGCGGCACCUGCAGUGUAUGGACAUUCCCAGGCUAGGGGUCAAAUCCAAGCCGAAGCUGCCAGCUUAUACCACAGUCACGGCAACAUCGGAUCUGAGCCACAUCUGUGUCCUGCACCAUGGCUUGUGGCAAUGCUGGAGCCUUACCCACUGAGCUUUGAGGCCAGGGAUGGAACUUGCAUCCUCAUGGAUACGAAUGGGAUUCCUAACCCCCUGAGCCACAACGGGAACGCCACCAUUUCUUUCUUGUGGUGAGAACAUUUAGGAUGUAUCCAGCAACUUUCAAGCAUGUGAUAAAGUGUUGUUAGUUAUAAUUGCCACGCUGUACCACGGAUCCUCUGAACGGAUUCACCUUAUGCUGGAAGUUUGGACCUUUUGAGAGGCAGCCCCAUUUCCCUCACUGUCAUUUAGUCUUUAAUAAGCUGGAAUACUAGCUGAUGUCUAUCCCUCUAGACUGGUUUUUUUUUGAAGACAAAAAUGAUAGACUGACAUUGUUCGCAUGCACCAGAAAAGUUCCCUCAUCACUUUUUUUUCUGCCUUUAUUCAUUUUUCCUUUUGCUUUGUCCAAAUCCACUGUGAAUAAAAGGCCAGGGGCGAGAAUGAGAGAACCCCUCACACAUGCUUGGUCUCCAUGAGAUGGUCUGUCAUCAGCAUCCUCGGACUUGAUUUGGUCACAGAAUUUCAGGUCAGUGGCAGCCCCACGAAGCCUUCCGAAGCCAUGCCCCUAGCCUUCCACCAACUGGAACUUUCUUCCGAUAUUCAGCCUCCAUGUUUCGGUAUUAAGUUCCCUCCAAAAAUCUGGACUCUUACCCUUGAUACCAGCCACAGAUGUCUUUCUCCUUUGGUUGUUUAUUCUAUCGGCUGUUAUCACAUCAUCAAUCCCCCUCUUUCACUUGGUGUUAGGAAAGCAAUGUGGUUUGUAUUAAUAUCUUCAAUCGUCAAUACUAGGGUCACUUAAUUACCUGUGUUGCUUUUCUUUCAGUCUUCUGCUAUUUACUCUAUUUAUGCUGUGCUUCUCCAGAUAUACCUUUUUUAAGACUGUUAGAAGUGUCAAAUGGAACGGCCACUGGCAUUUCACAGCAGUCUCCAAAGAAAUCUUUUAUUCAUGAAGUUGACAGUGUGGGAAGAAGAGAGCAAGAAAAUGAACAUUUUUGGUGCAGAAAUGAGUUGGGGCCAAGAGGUUGUCCUCAGAGAAGAUUAGAGGAUACAGGGGUAUAAAAACCAGCAGAUAAUUUAUGUCAAGAUAUUAGCACACCUUCCUCUUAUCUUGACCAAAAGGAAUUUUUUUUCUCCCCCUCUUUUUUCCCUAAAAGCUGCACCUGCGGCAUAAGGAGGUUCCCAGGCUAGGGGUGGAAUCUGCAGCUGCCAGUCUAUGUCACAGCCACAGAAACGUGUGAUCCAAGAUGCAUCUGUGACCUGCUGCAGCUUGCAGCAAGGCUGGAUCCUUAACACAAUGAGCGAGGCCAGGGAUCAAAGCUGCAUCCUCGAAGAGACUAUGUCAGGUCCUUAACCUGCUGAGCCACAGUGGGAACUCCAGAAUGAGUUUUGACUGAAAUAGAAUGUGCCCCAAGAAAUUCUCUACUCAGUCAAGUGGUUGCUCUUCAACUUACUAUGUCAAGCCCUACAAAAUCAAUAUGAAAAGGGGAGUUCCCGUUGUGGCUCAGUGGUUAACGAAUCCGACUAGGAUCCAUGAGGUUUCAGGUUCGAUCCCUGGCCUCGCUCAGUGGGUUAAGGAUCCGGCGUUGCCAUGAGCUGUGGUGUAGGUUGCAGACGCAGCUUGAAUCCCAAGUUGCUGUAGCUGUGGUGAAGGGCAGCAGCUACAGAUCCAAUUAGACCUCCAGCCUGGGACCUUCCAUAUGCCGCAGGUAUGGCUCUAUAAAAGGCAAAAAGACAAAAAAAAAAAAAAAUCAAUCCCUGGCCUUCAGUGGGUUAAGGAUCCAGCAUUAUCAUGAGUUGUGGUGUAGGUGGCAUAUGUGGCUUGGAUUCUGCAUUGCUGUGGCUGUGGCGUAGGCCAGCAGCUGCAGCUCCUAUUUGACUCCUAGCCUGGGAACCUCCAUAUGCUGUAGGUUCGGCCCUAGAAAGCAUUAAAAAAAAAAAAAAAAAAAAAAGGAAGAAAAAAAAUUUAGCCUCAUCAAAUAAAAGUAAUUAAAAAGACACUAUUUUUCAAAGAUCAAAUCGACAAAUUAAAAGAAGAUAAUAUGCAGUGUCUUCAAAUAUUUCUUACUUUGUUCUGAUGGCUAAUUUGGCCUUAUGUGCCCCCAAUCAUUACCGUAUUUGUUAGCUCAGAAGCUUAGGAUAUUUCUUAGAAUAGUCAUGAAUAAAUGGAAAGAUUUAUCUAAAAAUGCUUAUUGCACCGUUGCUUGUAACAGAGAAAAGCUGAAUUGAACAUAAAUGUAUUAUAAUAAAGGAUGGAGCAUUACAUCUAUACGAUAGUCAUCAAAAGUCAUUUUCAGUAAGAAUUCUUGUUGGCACGAGUAAAACUCUAAUCUAAAAACUCUAAAAUGCUCUAAACCUUUUUAAAAAAAGAAAACAAACGCACAUACACACACGCAGAAAGUGACCAAAGUAGUUAUACCAGCACAACAUUGUAAAUCAACUACACUCGGAUAAAAAUUUUUUAAAAAAUAAAAAAAUGAAGUAAUUACACCAAAAAGCCACAGUAGUCAUUACCAGAUUGUAGGAUUUUGAAUUUUUUCCUUUUUGUGAUUUUCCCAUAGUUACAUUUUCCAUAUUCUGCAUUUACCACAUUUACCAUUAAUUCUAUGAUUUUUUAAAAAGCCAUUUUGAAAUAAACGUAUAAACUGAAGAGAGUGUUCCACUGAGCAUUUCCUGCAUUCGGGGGUUAAAAAUAAAUCCUUUCAAACGGUCUUAACACCACGUUAGAGUGAAUAAAAGUAUCCUAACGGCUCUGUCUCUGCCAGGUUCUCUGUGCUCAUUUGGGCUGACGCUGGGCGUGCAAUAUUUCAGAUGCCACAGAAUCACCCACGUCCAGUUAUCACAACAGUCGUGAUAAUUACGAGCAUCCGAGAACACCAAGAUGAGCCAAGGCGGUGAGCUGACAGUUACUCUCGUCCCCCUUGAAGGAUGCAGCAAAGUGAUCCCCAGAAGCCCUGGGAUCCACUGAUUGAAUGGCUGGGGUGAAAAAAUCGCUCCAUCACAUGAGGAAAUUUAAGUGCUAGAAUAUGAUUUACAAAAAUUAAAUUGGCAAGGAAUGUGGCAAUAAAGUUGUCUAAUGUAUUCCAGGGUGAUGGUGGAGCGAUGAUUGAAAAUAGCCCAGGGCGAGAGCCAUUUAAAAUCGGCAGCUGAGCGGUGAACAUUUUCAGGGUCUCGGGUUGGGUGGACGACCGGCUUUUUAGUUCAAAGGCUGUAGUCCAUUUCAGGGUUUGACAGGAAGAAGUAAGAGGCCAGCUGAAUUCUCGCCAGAGGAUAGAACAAAGAAUUCAGGAUCCAAUACCCAGCCCAGCUUGCAGGAAACAAUGGUUCUUUCUGCUGUUGUUUGAAAUGCGAACCAGUCACUUUUCUGUUCCCUACAGUUGUAACUAAUGAAAUCCUCUUGGCUGAGCUCUGAACAAUGGCUUCUCUUUCCAUCUCUUGGGUCACUCCUUUCUUACUGCUCUUGUUUCCUCUUUCCUGGAGAACUCUAAGACCUGUCCUGGUGGCUGGUCACUGCCAGGGCUCAGUGCUCUUGGUUACUUUAUUAGCCUGGCUCCUGGUGUAGGAUGAUGAUGGCAUAGGGCAGAGCUGGGAUAUGUAGCAUGCAUCAGAAGAAACCCCUGGAGCUCAAGCCACAGUUCUUUGCAGUUGUUACUGCAGCGUGAUUUAGCCAAAGCUGACUGUUCCAGGGGAGGUAUACCUAGGGCUGGAGUGGAGACAGGUGGGUGCAGAUGCGCUCCUGGUAUGGUAUCUGGCAUGCAGGUGGUGCUCAGUAAGCGUUCCAAAGAAUCAAAAUGCCAGCUUUGUCAUCCGAAGGCUAUGAGACUAUGUCAUCCAAAGCUAUGUCAUCACUUAACUCCAUCCGUAAUCGUGGAUUCAGUGAGCGGCUCUGGUUGCCGUAAGUACUGAUGUGUGAUGGUCCAGAAUGAAGAGUGUUAAACAACAGGACAAGCUAUAGGGUGUCCUACAGACACACGGACC
rnacentral:lncRNA from 1 species